UGUCGUGGCAGUCUGGAGGCUGGUCAUUCUCGGGACUUAGCUCAAACUUCUCCUCCUGGGGUGGGGGACCUUCCACUCUCUGCAGGUGGUAGCCGGCCACGAAAGGAUGGGCAGCCCCUUGCAGCGACCGCCCCCAGCCACGCAAUUUGGGAUUUGCUGUUUCAGCUGUUUUCUGAACAUGGAGGAGAAAACCACGGAUUGGGGAGAACAGUUACAAUGCCUGCUGGCUUGCUACAGUUAAAUGUUGAGAGGAUAAGGAUUCUGGACAACUGUGACACAUAUAUCUGAGAGAGAAAGCAGAUGAGGACGUUGUUUAUUGUGAAGUAUCAUAUGGAUUGGUUGAAGCGCCCUUGUAUCCCAAGAAUAAAUUCCCUUGAUUGUGGUGAAUGACUUUUUAAAAUGCACUGUUGGAUUCAGUUUGCUGACUUAAGAAUUUUAAACAUGAUUGGACUCAAAGUUAUUUGUUCACAUCGCCUCCUUGGUCCCCACCACAGCUUCUGUGAGAGACAGAGGACUUCUUUGCAUGUUCUGAGCACCCGCUCUGGGCCAGAUGGACUCUCAAAAUUUUUGUUGUUGUCGUUUUUUGCUUUAUUUUCUUAACUUUCAUUGUCUCCUCUGACCCACAAAAUGAACUUGCAGUAUGAAGAACGCAAGGCUUGGCCAUAUCAUGUUUCAGGCACACUGUAUGAAGCUGUAGUACCGCACUGACGUCUGAGUAUCACGAGACCAAAUUUUAUUAUAAAGGAUGGUAAACAGAGGUCUGGGUCUACUGAUUUUUUAUCUCUACAAAUAAUACUGAGAUACCAGUAAAUGUCCUGUGUCUUGGAAGAAGAAGAAAAGUUUCCCAUGGGAGCCUGAGAAAAGAGAGCUGGUAAUGUGAAGGAGAGGUAUGUUAAAGCAGUGUCUAUAGAAGAGAACAAAAGUAGGUCCCUCAUCCUGGGCAAAAGCCAAGUGUGUGGUUUCAAGGGGAGUGAGCCCAGUAGAGAGAGGUCACUGCUUACCAAUACGGUCCAUGACUUGGAACAUCUGGACAUGAAGCAUAUUCAAGAGAUGGUGAGGGGUCAUGUGGUUCUCUAUCAUGUCCCAUUUCAUCUUCACAACAUACUAUAGACUGAAAGUCUGUGUCCCACCCAAAUUCGUAUCUUGAAACCUAACCCCCAGUGUGAUGGUGUGAGGAGGUGAGGUCUUUGGGAGGUCAUGCGGCUGGAGCCUUCAGGAUGGGAUUAGUGCUCUUAUAAGACAGUCCCCAGAGAGUCUCAUCUGCUGUCCUAUCCUGUGGAGACAUGACGAGAAGACAUCAGGAGACACUGAAUCUGCUGGACCCUGGAUCUCGGACGUCUGAUCUCCAGACCGUGAGGAAUGAACUUCUGUUGCUUAUAA